rfam:Patagioenas fasciata monilis isolate BTP2013 Sc31e1R_92, whole genome shotgun sequence.
CAAUAGGUUUUUUUAAAAACCCAUCACACACAUACACAAUAGUUUAGG